GUGUUGUAUGACAGGAGAGUUAGCACUCCCUUGACAAGGAUGGAAGGGCCUCGGCCCUGACAACACCCACGUUGAAGACAUUGCUGCCUACUUCAUGGCAUUUAACCAUGGUU
rnacentral:ncRNA from 1 species